rnacentral:rRNA from 1 species
CACUAUGCUUAGCCCUAAACCUAGAUAGUUAACCCAAACAAAACUAUCCGCCAGAGAACUACUAGCAACAGCUUAAAACUCAAAGGACUUGGCGGUGCUUUAUAUCCCUCUAGAGGAGCCUGUUCCAUAAUCGAUAAACCCCGAUAAACCUCACCAUCUCUUGCUAAUUCAGCCUAUAUACCGCCAUCUUCAGCAAACCCUAAAAAGGAAGAAAAGUAAGCACAAGUAUCUUAACAUAAAAAAGUUAGGUCAAGGUGUAGCCCAUGAGAUGGGGAAGUAAUGGGCUACAUUUUCUACAACUAGAACAUCCACGAAAAUCCUUAUGAAAUUAAGUAUUAAAGGAGGAUUUAGUAGUAAAUUCGAGAAUAGAGAGCUCGAUUGAAUCGGGCCAUGAAGCACGC